rnacentral:snRNA from 1 species
AGACCUGUAGUAUCGAAGUGUAGUAUCGAACAGGGAGUCGGAAAUGGGGCUUGCUCCGUCCGCUCCACGCAUCGACCCGGUAUUGCAGUACCUCCGGGAACGGUGCAACACUU